GGGGAUUUAGCUCAGUGGUAGAGCGCCUGCCUAGGAAGCGCAAGGCCCUGGGUUCGGUUCCCAGCUCCG
rnacentral:tRNA from 1 species